CCCUUUCAGUCAGGGUUGUUUACUAUGAGAUCAUCACGGGGAAUCCCCAUCUGAACAGCUUUAAGCCUGUGGAACAAACAGGCAGGACUGGGCCCUUAUUGCAGCCAGAGAAGAUUUAUGUAUGUGAAUAAUUCUUUUGAAAUCAUUAGGACUGUUUACCUGCAUGAAGUUCAACAUGUGAAUAAAGCCUGCAAGAUCAGGGCCAAAGGCAGCAAAUCCCAGUUGAAGACUGGCUGUCUGAAGGGAUUGGUAACAGACAUGGAGAUUAGCACUCAAAUCCUAAAUUGAAUGAGCUUGUUCCUGCUACUGUUGAGAUGUGUGAGAAGACUCCCAUUGAUACCAAUAGGGCAGGAGCAGCCCUUAUGACCUCAUUACAACACAACUGUAUCUCCUGAUAUAUCUAGGCUGGAAUGCUGUAGCUUUGUAACAACACACAACAAUGCAACACAAAAUAAGGAACAAUCUUGAACUCAUGCAAUUUCCAUGCAUGAGUAGCAUUCUGCACUGCAGGGAACAGGAAACCCCCCCCCCCACACACACACACUGGAGCGACCAGUAAACCACACAGGAAGAGGCUAGGAGCUGUGUCAGUGUCAUGUGACAGUUAAUUUGUCAUAAAACUCACCAUGGCAAUAGGAACAAUAAUGUUGAAUCUUACUUUGUAUCUGGAAAUAUAAAAAGUUAAACUGGAGUUAAGUCUGUGGACGGAUCAGUAAUUUAACAGUAAAAAUUGUUUGAUGUGACAGACUGACAAUACCCUGGACAAAUCUUCUGGAAUUAAGAUAAACUUUAUUGAAUGAAGUUUAACCUUAUGCAUUAGGUUUAAUAGCUUUGGGGUCUAUUGUAUUAAAAAUGUCGUUAUGGUG